CGAUGCGAGACGCUCAUGAGACCCCAGGAAAGGUGUUGGUUGCUCUAGACAGCAGGACGGUGGUCAUGGAAGUCGAAACCCGCUAAGGAGUGUGUAACAACUCACCUGCCGAAGCAACUAGCCCUGAAAAUGGAUGGCGCUCCAGCGUCGAGCCUAUACCCGGCCGCCGCGGCAGAGCUCCUCUUGGCAAGGAGACUUAUGCCCCGGUGAGUAGGAGGGUCGCAUCGGCGAGCGUUGAAGGUGCCGGGCGUGAGCCCGCCUGGAGCCGCCGAUGGUGCAGAUCUUGGUGGUAGUAGCAAAUACUCAAGUGAGAACCUUGAGGACUGAAGGUGGAGAAGGGUUCCAUGUGAACAGCAGUUGAACAUGGGUCAGUCGGUCCUAAGGGAUCGGAGAAAUCCGUUCCGAAGCGGGACAUUGCAUGAUUGCGGAAYUCCGCGUGAUUUCGCUCGUCCCGCUCACGAUCGACAGGGAAUGGGGUCAAUAUUCCCCAACCCGGACACGGAGAUAGAGCCCUCGGGCUCAAGUGCGGUAACGCAACCGAACUCGGAGACGGCGACGGAGGACCCGGGGAAGAGUUAUCUUUUCUUUGUAAGGGUUCGUGUCCCUGGAAUCGGUUCAUCCGGAGAUAGGGACGCUGUACCCGUAAAAGCUCCGCGGCUCUUGCGGAGUCCGGUGCGCCUCUGCCGCCCCUUGCAAAUCCGAGGGAGAGAGUGUGAU
rnacentral:rRNA from 1 species